UUUAGCUACUGCAAGAAGAUGAAACAGAAACACAAGUUAAAGAGCUCUCAAAGUCUCAACGCCGGCUGUCUCUCCCGUCUUCAACGGUGAAGGGUUUAUGCUGCCAGCUUUCUUAGAAAGGUUUAGAGAGAGUAUUUAUGUACAAUUGAGACAGUUAAAGAUUGAUAGGUUUUAGUUUUUGAAGUGGAAUUAAUGACAUCUGUGCCGUCGAAAAAUAUAUGGAUAAAGAGGCAGCAAUGCCCAUGUGGGGAUUGGAAAUGUUAUGUUACUUGUGAAGGAGAUGUUGAAGAGACAUCUGUAGCAUCUCAGUUGGAAAAAAAUGAAACUUUUCAAUCUGAUUCAAUGGUUUCUCCUUAUGUAGGAAUGGUGUUUAAGAGUGAUGAUGAUGCGUUCGAGUAUUAUGGGAAUUUUGCUAGGAAAAAUGGGUUUUCUAUUAGGAAAGAGAGGUCAAGAUUGAGCCCUCAAUUGGGUAUUUAUAAACGUGAUUUUGUUUGUUAUCGUUCGGGGUUUGCGCCGGCUAGGAAGAAGUCGACUGCAGAACACCAUAGGGAUAGGAAAUCAGUGCGGUGUGGAUGUGAUGCAAAAAUGUAUUUGUCAAAGGAAGUUGUUGAAGGGGUUUCUCAAUGGUUUGUUGUGCAAUUUAGCAAUGUGCAUAAUCAUGAGCUUUUGGAAGAUGAUCAAGUGAGGCUCCUUCCAGCUUAUCGGAAGAUUCAAGAGGCAGAUCAGGAGAGGAUUCUUUUGCUUUCAAAAGCUGGGUUCCCAAUACAUCGAAUAGUGAAGGUGUUAGAGUUGGAAAAGGGUAUUCAAGGUGGGCAAUUGCCUUUUCUAGAGAGGGAUGUUAGGAAUUUUGUUCAAAAUCGCAAGAAGAUUGUUCAAGAGAAUGAUGCUUUGCUCACUGAAAAGAGAGAGAAUGAUAGUAUGGAACUUCUUGAGGCGUGCAAAGUUACCAAAGAGAUGGAUGGAGAUUUUGUUUAUGAUUUCACAACGGAUGAGAAUGAUAAGGUUGAGAACAUUGCGUGGUCGUAUGGUGACUCUGUUCGUGCAUACACGUUGUUUGGUGAUGUGGUUUAUUUUGACACUAGUUAUCGUUCUAUCACAUAUGGCAUGCUCUUAGGCGUAUGGCUUGGAAUUGACAACAAUGGGAAGACCAUAUUCUUUGGCUGUGUUCUGUUGCAGGAUGAGACGGCUCGUUCCUUUGCAUGGGCUUUGCAGGCUUUUGUCCAUCUUAUGAAAGGAAAAUGUCCACAAACAAUUCUAACUGACCUUGAACUGGGGCUUAAGGAUGCUGUUAGAAGGGAAUUACCUAGCACCAGACACGCUAUAUCUAUAUGGAAUAUUCAACCCAAGAUAUCCAGUUGGUUUUUCCUUUCCCUUGGGGCUAGAUAUCCAGAAUUUAAAUCGAUGUUUGAUGAUUUGUAUCAUGCUGAGAAUGCAGAUGAUUUUGAACAUAGAUGGAGUCAGAUGGUUUCUAUGUUUGGAUUUGGUUCAGAUAAACACAUUGCUUUACUCUAUUCUCUUCGUGCAUCCUGGGCAUCAUCCUAUAUGAGAGGUUACUUUCUUGCUCGGAUGGCGACAUCAGCAUAUUUGAAAUCUGUAGAGUCAUUUCUGAAAGCAAUCUGUUGUGCACAAACAUGUUUACGGAGCUUCUUUGAACAGGUUGGUAGUUCCUCCAAUUUCCAGAACCAGCUACGUCAAGAGAUGCAGUACAUGCUCACUAAAACAUGCAUGCCUAUUGAAGAGCAUGCACGUAAUUUUCUUACACCUUUUGCCUUCAAUGAUUUCCAACAUGAAUUGGUGCUCUCAAUGCAAUGUGCUCUGUCUGAAAUGCCGGAUGGAUCAUAUCUUGUACACCACUACAAAAAGAUGGAUGUUGAGCGUUUUGUAAUAUGGAUACCAGAAGAUGAACAGAUUCACUGCACCUGUAAGGAAUUUGAGUCUUCAGGGAUGUUGUGCAGACACACUCUUCGGGUGUUCAUCCUGAAAAACUACUUUCAGCUUCCUGAAAAAUAUUAUCUUAGCAGAUGGCGAAGGGAAAGCUCUCUAGUUUUCUAUGAUAAUCAAGAUACUCAAACUAAUGAUGAUGGAUGGUUUCAAGAAUUUCAAUCCCUGACUGAAACUCUGUUAACAGAGUCAUCAAUCACAAAGGAGCGUUCUGAUUAUGUCCAUAGGGAACUGCCAAAGGAACUGAAAAGACUUAUCAGUGAGGUUAGAAAAAUGCCAGAAAGUGAUGGAGUUGCUAUGGAUUUAACACUUUCACCAUCUAGUUAAUUUACAGUAGGUGCAAAUAUGUCUGGUAACUUACCAAGGGGACGGCAUGAUCAUUGGCAGGAAGAUGUCUGGGGGUUUUUAUUGCUCAUUUUCAUCAGAAAGAGAAUUUUGGAAAGAAGAGCUAACCUGAAGUAGAUGUAUGAAGUGUUGCUGAGAUGCAACAAGUUGACAUUGUUUCCUUUGUGAAUAACUAUGGAAGACUGCAAAAAAUAUGAAUUGGACCGAAAUGAACUUAACCAAGGUUUUUAAACAGUUAUGAAUAUGAUUCGAUAUAACUAGGAAUUCCAGAGGAUGCAAUUGUGCUGCUAGCAUCAGACAGAUGGAAAAGGAGUUCUAGUUCCAGUCAAUCCAACCCAUUCUCUCAUUGAGGCCCUUCUAGAUUUAUCCCCCA